CAUGCUUUUAUAGUUUAUAAAACAUGACCAUUUGUAUCAGGCUCUAUUUCAAUGUUUAAAACUUAAAAGAUUUUUUAAAAGAAUCAAAUAACUAAAACAAAUUUUAAAAUAACAUUUUUAUUAAGUACCUCUGAGAAUAAAUAGGUAGAAUUCAUACAAAGUCCAGCGAUUCAACAAAUUAGUCUUCCGAGGUAGCAAAAAAAGUUUAACUGUAUCUACAAAAAAGAAUUAGUAAGGUGAAAGUUAACUUAUCAAAAUCAGUUGUCAAAACAAACUACUCAAUAGUUACUUUAAUUGCCUAUAGUGGAGAAAACCUUCAAAGAUUUAGACUUAUAUAUAUGACCCAAACAGCUUAUUCAGGUGAUAUUUUAAACCUUAAGAAUUAGAUGUAAGUGUAAGUAAAACUUAAGAUUUCAUUUUUAUUUACUAACAUUGCUCCUCUACAGGGACAAUUUCUCACUUUCUCUGAAGGCACUGACACAGAUUUUGGUGAUUAUUGCUGUAUGCUGGGCCAUAUGUUACACGGCAGAGUACAGCAUGUGGCAGGCUAAUUUGUAGCAAUGCAAUUUUAGAUUUUUGACAAUAUACACAAUAUAUGAAAACUAUCAAGUAACUGAAUUUUACCCUGAUGAAUUAUCUAUAUAUGUCACUUCAAAACCCACCCCCUAAAAACAGACUGCAUAUAAUAUUAUUAAAAAGUAGUACAACUUAUGACUGUUAAAAUGUUAUUCUCAAUUUAUCAUGCAAGACCAUAUUCAGAUUCUGUUGCACAGUCUUAAAAUUGCCAAUUACUGAAAAAAACCAUCACAAUGGUAAUUUUCCAACCAUGAGAAAAGAACAAUAUGAAAAUACUCUACUGAAAAUUGAUGAAAUUGAAGAGAAAGGCCAUUAUGAAAGUAAAACUUCCAAAUAAAAUGCUUUCUUUCUUUAAUCAGUAAUCUUCUUGAAUGUAUCAUAUACAGUUAGAAUCAUUGCUUAGGCAUCUACCAGGGCAUUAGCGAUAUCUGUGAAUUCUCUUUUAGGUGUAAAUUGUUGUUAAAGUGAGGAAAAGAGAUCAAAUGUUUGUUUCACUCCAAUAUGAUAAAAAUUCAAUAUUCAGUUUUAGAACUGACGAUCACAGAGUUAGUAUUAGCUAAUCAUACCAUCACAUGCGCAGAGCUCUACUGUUCUAUAGUAGUCCACCCUUGUCAAACUCUUUAAAAAUUCCCUGUUGGCAUUGUGGCAUGAUUGAUAAUGCCAGGAGGGAGUUUUUAAAGAGUUUGACAAGUAAUUUAUAAUUUGAGGUAAGUUUUAGUUAAUUUAUACCCAUAUAUACACUAAAAUAAAUUUGCAACUCUCCAUUUAUUUAACAAAGAUUUAUUAAGCUCCUUUUAUGUGUUAGUCAUUUCUCUAUUCCCAGACAUUCAAUUCAACCAGAUAAAUGUGGAGCAGGGAAGACAGAAUUAAACAAAUAAUUAUAAACUUCCAGUCAGCCAUGACAGAUUGAACACAAUAGUGUAUCUCUGCUCCCUCUUGAAAGGCCACUAAAAUGACAGUAAAAAAUACACAAACUCACCAAGAUAAAGAAAAUAGGAGAGAACAUACAACAGAUAGAAAAAGUCAACAAAAUUGAGAAAAAUGGAAAAUAGAUGGCUAAUUGGCCAUUAGCUUAGGUUUCAGCCUUCUCCCCUCUGUUGAGUGCUUAGGUAGGGAGGAGAGGCAGAUGCUGGGGGAAGUGAAAGGGAGUGAUGAGAAGAUAAACCAAUUGGUACCUCAGAAUUCCACAAAAAGCCUGGGUAAGGCACUAGCUAUCUCUGAUAUCAGACAUGUAAGGUGAAACUGAAGGAAAUUAGAUUUAUUUAAAAUCUGUAUAAAAAAUAAUUAGACUUCUCUACUCUACUCUAGCCAAGUGGUUUAAUUUCUGGAGAUGGUGAACCCAAGAGGCUCUGCUGGGAGACAACAAAAAUAAUGAAGGUAAUGGAUGAAAUCCUGUAUGCUCAAUGUAAAAAUACUUAGCUCCUUUCACUUUAGCUGCCAGAACACUUGUGGUUUUAUAUUCCAUCAGAUGGGAAGCUUCUCUUCUCUGAAGAAUCUGGAAAGUAUAUGAGAAAGGUGAGGUUGCCAAAGAAAUGGUUUGUCUCAUCCAGUCCCUCACAGUGAGUCCCAACAGUUGGAAAAUUCCACCAGUGAAUGCAAAAAUUUCAAUUUGUCUUGUAGUGUCUCACUUUUAAAUAUGAAUGAAUGGCCAAAAAUCACCAGAUACAAGUAGAGGGAAUUUCACUUCAAAGACAAGGCCAAAGCAAGGAAAUAAGCAAAUGAAAAUGAACCAUGCAGGGACUUGAAGAAAAUUUGAAGCAACUAUAAAAAAUCUCUUCAGAGACACAGCAUUUACAAAACAAGAAUAGAAUGCUUUUUUUUUUUUUUUUUUUUUUUGAGAUGGAGUCAGGGGUGCAAUCUCAGCUCACUGCAACCUCUACCUUCCAGGUUCAAGUGAUUCUCCUGCCUUGGCCUCCCGAGUAGUUGGGAUUGCAGUCACCCGCCACCAAGCCUGGCUAAUUUUUCUAUUUUAAAAAUCAACUGGCUGUCAAUCAAGUCAAAGACUGGAAACUUUCUAAGGAAAAAGAAGCAUUUGCAAACUGAAAUGAAGCACAAAUCACUUCAAUAGCUUAGAUUUGUGCUUUGAAAGUGUCAAACUAAACUAAUCACUGUAGGAAUUGAUGGAGUAUUAGCUCUGGAUUUCAAGUUAUUAUAAUUUUUCAAUGUCUGUCUCACAUUUUUGGCUAUCUGUCAGAUAUAAUUUCCUUGGAAAUCCCAUCCUCAGCGUUGGUUCUCUGUUUAGAGCCUCAGGGGAACUGCUAUAAAAAUGAAUUAGUCCCAUGAAAACAGACUAUUUAUGGGUGUUUUCUGCAUGGUAUUUGGACUAUAGAAUAGACAUUCUGUAACCUUGACUUGACAGGAGUACAAAGUGGUAGAUGCACAGUGUUGGAGAAGGCAGUGAAUAUAAACCUACAGAGAUGAUUCCGCAUUGUUCCACCCAUCCCAACCCCAACUCAAACAUUGAGAGGGAAACAUGGCUACUAUUUUCAGAUUACAAGAAAAAUAAAUUUACUGCCUGCUCGUUUGGAGAUCUAUAACCUUUAUACUUAGACAGUUUUUUAAAAAGUAUAACAGCAAUUAUUUCUCCCAAUUUAUUUAAUGCCGUUUUUUCAUUGCAUCCAUUAAAAUAUUUUACUUUUAUAAGCAAUGAUACCAGGAAGUUAUCGUUUGAAUAGUCUGCUGGAGGAGUAGGGCAAAGUAGUUAAGAUCAAUUGUUCUUUCAGAAGGCUGCUGCUUUCUAGCUGCAUGACUUUGGGUACGUUAUUUAACCACUAAACUUCAGUUCUCCUGUAAAUUGGAAAAAAAAAAAAAAGACAAUGCUGAAUUCAAAUAACUGAGGAUAAAUGAGGUAAAGCAUAUUGAGACUUAUUAUAGUUCAUUAUUAUUGCUUUAUACAAAUAUGAAUUCUACAAUGUGUACCUUCUGGUAAAAGUUGUGAUGCCCUAUUUUAUUUUUUAAAGGUUUUCUUAAAUUUAUGUAAACUUCCAAUAUCAUAAGUUGACAACAUGCCAGUUGGCCCUCAGAUCUGUUUAUUUAUUGAAUGACUGCUCUCUGGUUUAUAAAACAGAUAUGUUGGAGGUUACAGUCUAGUAGAGACAGAUAAUAAACAAAUAUAUAUACAUGAAAUGUGAAGAAAAUAACCAUGGUACAGUGUAUUUCUUUAAAGGGUAAUUACCCAUCAUAAAUGGUCCAAGAAAGAUUCCCUAGAGAAUUAGCAUUUAAGUUAAGAGCUGAACGAUGGUGGUGUCAGCCAUGUGACUCAUGGAAUAAGAGGGUUUUAUGCAGCAUGGUUAGGUAUUGGUCAGAAGUCAGACAGGAAAUGGUUAAGCAGGAAUGCUCCUGAGUUAUUGCUUCUACAGAAAGGAUGUCUAAUGGUGUUAUACUGGAAGUAACACAGUACUGAACACUUUAAAAAAAAAUGAGUUGUAUUGCAGCUUCCAGCCAGAAAGUUACUUUUCUUGCCAAAAAGGACAAUUAUAAACUGUAACCCUCUCUAGAGAUGAGUGGAGAAGGCUGGGGUUGGAGGUGACUCAGUUAAAAGGACCUGCAGGGUGAUCGGAGCUAGUCACCUGCAUUUUACAGAACAUUUCAAAGGCAAGCAAAGCUUCAGGUUCAAUCUGUUAAAGGUCAAACUUUUAGUGUACAGAGCUGGAGAAUGAGCUGAAACAACGAAACAUCAAGCAGGGCAGCCUGCAAGAGCAAAAAUACUAUGAAAUGCACAGAAAAGGAACUGAAGAACUUGGACAAUUGAGAAGAAAAAAUGUUUGACAUACCCAGAGCACAGAAUGUACUCUUGUCUGCAAUAAUUAUCACCCAUUUGUAAGAAGGAACUGGAAGCUAAUGUCAUUAAUUCAACAAAUAUUUAUUGUAUUACAUCCCCGUACAAAGUAAACAAGGAAACAAAGAUAUUUACCCUCAAGGAACUUACAUUGGGGUUGGGAGGGGGUGGGAGAGUACAGGGAAAACAGAUUUGCAUUGUGUUAAACAUAAUAAAUAAGUAAAUGACACAGUGUGUUAGAAAAUACUUAGUGCUCUGGAAAAAAAGAAAAGUUGAGUAAGAAGGGGAAGACAAGGCUGGGAGAAGGUAGAAGAGACAGUUUGCAAUAUUAAAUGGUUGUUCAAGCCAGGCCUGCCUCAUUGAAAGGGUGAAAUCUUCCUUCACUGGAAGGAAGUGAGAGAAUUAGUCAAGCAGCUAUCUGAGGAAAGAACAUUCCAAGUAAAGAAUAUACAGCCCAUACAUUGUUGGAUGUGUGUACAUUGAAAUUUUUGUGCAGUAAAAUGAAUAUUUCAUUUACCUAUAUAAUUUUACAUAAAAUAAAAUAUAUUUUGAAUGUGAGUUUGUUCCAAACAAAUCAUUUUCUUGCCUUCAAAACCACUGAGCUUAAAGAACUCUUUCAAGUGUCAUUAGAGAUAGAUUCCAACUACAAUCAACAUUGUGGAAUCCAGAGGAGGCAAAAUGAAGGAAGCAGCACUCAUUACAAAAUGCUGCUUUGUAAAGAAUUAAUUCUGUCCUGGUAUGUUUCACAUUAGGUAAUAUGAAGGAAAUGAAUAUGUCAUGAACCCUCCUUGAGGAUGUGGGGGAAUUAAAAGUAAUUUCGCUUAAUAUCCAACUCUCACUUUUGGCUUUGUAGUCAGAGGGAAACAAUGCUUUCCCAGGUUCUAAGGUAAACGUUAAAAGGUUACAAGGAGACUUGGAAGAGUCAAGGAACGCUUCCACCAACUAUUCCUGCCAUUCCAGUUGGGAGGGUUGUCUGAGGGGAAGUGAAAAAUAGUUUAUUACUUACUAUAUUUUUGGUACAAGAUCUGUUAUAUUUUUCUAGAUUAAAAACAAUUCAGUGAACACUGAUCCUUUAAAAAAAAGAACUCGAGGUUUAUAAAAUGCCUCUAAGGUGGGGGAGUGGGUUAGUGGUAAGAAAAGCAAAACUGUGAUGCAAUUGUUGAAAAAGCCAAUUAUUAAGGCAUCAUUCAUGGAACUAUAAUACCUGAUCCUAAAAGUAAUAUAUCCAUUAUACUUUGCCUCAGUUCUAUAUGUCUAACUCAUCAAGUUAAUUUCUGAGAGCUGCAUUUCUUAAAAGAGAUGUUAAAGGUCAGGAGAUCGAGACUAUCCUGGCUAACACAGUGAAACCCCGUCUCUACUAAAAAUACGAAAAAAAAAAAAAUAGCCAGGUGUGGUGGCACACGCCUGUAGUCCCAGCUACUCGGGAGGCUGAGGUAGGAGAAUCACUUGAACCUGGGAGGCAGAGGUUGCAGUGAGCUGUGAUCGCGCCACUGCACUCCGUCCUGGGUGACAGAGCAAGACGCCGUCUCAAAAAAAAAAAAAAAAAAAUUUUGAGUGCAAUAUUUUAGAAAAUCAAAAUGAGUACCCUAAAGAACCAUGAUGAACAUGGAAUCAAAAUGUAAAUAAGAAAUAAAAUCAGUAUGACUGAUUUUUUUUCUUUUACUCCUGUUGCUAAUAUAGCUCAGCACAGCACUGUUACUGAUUAUUCCUUAUUUAAAAUGUUGAUAUUUUUCUCAUCAUGGACUUUUUACAUUAACUUUGUAAAUGAGAAUUAAAAUAAAGAAAUUUUUCUGGCUUCUGCAAAGGAGAUAGGUGCUCAGCGAGUGGCGUAGAUAAGUGAUGCAAAAUAUGAGUUGGUAUUAUCCACCCUUCCAAACUAAUCAAUUAUUCUACCAAAUGUCAGAAAUAUGUAUGUGAAUGUUAUCAUUUCAACAGUGCUGAACACAUCCCAGCCAUUAAUGCUAGGUAUCAGCUUCAUUUUCAUCUAUUUGCUUAGCAUUUGGUGCUUAAUGUAGUGUAGUCUACAGCAACUCUAGUCUGGAACACUACAGAACAAAUUGACAAUUUGAACCAAAACUGCUGCAAAGGAAAUAAUGAUCUAGUGCACCACUGUGGAAAGUCUCCAAAACAGUGGAGGGGAAAAUCUUUUCGAUAUAGCCUCUCUUUCAGAUAAUUUGAAUGCACUUUGACAGAACUUGAUAAUGAACGUGGGUGGUACACUCAGAGAUGCUCUGCCAGAAUUCCUUCAAGGAAGUACUUACUGCCCAGCCAUGGGGAGGACAGUCAGGAGGCAACCCAGCGAUCAGCAACUUCAGGGUCCACCUCAGCUGUAAGGAGCCACCUCUCCAGAGAUCUCACCCUUCUCAAGGCAGACUGCAGCUGCUGACUAAGCAAGGCAGUGUUUGAAAGGCCCCAUCACUCUAAAGCACAAUAUUCCCUUCAUUGCUCCUGCUGAAUUGGUCAAAGAUUUGUUGGCCUGCAUUCCAGUUCAACUUUUUUCUCUACCCAGUCCUGCUUCCUGUCCUUCCUUUCCCAUCUUACCCUCCAAAACUCAUCUAAAUAAGCAUCUGCUCCCAGAAAACCCAACCUGAGACAGGGAGUUAAACUUCCCAACGUUUUUCUUUUUACAGUAUUAUUUAGAAUAACAACAAAAAAGUAUGCAAAAAAGACUAAAUAUCCAACUGUAUUUGCAACAUAUAUUUUUGAGCUUUCUCAGUUUAGAUCUGAAUUAUAUAGUUAUAAUGAUUUUGGAUUCAGUUUUUUGGUUGACAUUAUUUAACAUACAAUUCCUCAGAGCAACUUUGUCGAGAUAUUUCUCUUCUGCAAUGCCCUUACAGUAUUCUAUAGUGGAUUUCUUAACUGUCUCCAAAUGUAUGGCCUUACAUUGUUUACUAUUUUUUCACUCCUUGAAAUAGUGUUAUAAUAUUUAUGUACAAAUUGCUUUCUUUCCCUUUUGAUUAAUUCCUUCAACAAUUGCCUUCCUAGAAUUGAACCAGAGUCCGGUGAAUAUCAGCACUGGGACCAGUUAGCAGAGGAAAAGGAAAGAAUAAAAGCGAAAAGAAUGAAGAGUCAUAUGAUUACCAACUUUUCCUUUUUCAUAUAAAUUGAGUGUAUAUGGGUCUGGAACAACCUGAAUUUCCAUCAAGUCCUGGCUAACCUCAUUAUGUCCUAUGAAUAUUUUUGACUAAUCCCACUUUACAUUAAUCUGUAUUGUGAAUGUGGAUAUUGAAUUAUAUUUCUUUGUAAUCCCAUUAUCCAAAAUCCAGUUCAGAGACUAUUAGUUACCAAUGUUCACUGUGAAGGAAAAAAAAAAAAAAAAAGCUCAGAGGAUAAACAUGUGAUAUGGUUUGGCUGUGUCCCCACCCAAAUAUCAUCUUGAAUUGUAGCUCCCAUAAUUCCCACGUGUUGUGGGAGGGACCCGGUGGGAGAUAAUUGUAUCAUGGGGGUGGUUCCCCCAUACUAUUCUCAUAGUAGUGAAUAAGUCUCACAAAAUCUGAUGGUUUUAUGAGGGAAAACCCCUUUCACCUGGUUCUCAUUCUCUUCUCUGGUCUGUCGUCAUGUAAGACAUGCCUUUCACCUUCUCCACCAUGACUGUGAGGCCUCCCCAGCCACGUGGAACUGUGAGCCCAUUAAACCUCUUUCACUUAUAAAUUACCCAGUCUCUGGUAUAUCUUUAUCAGCAGCAUGAAAACAGACUAGUACAACAUGUUUGGAAAUGAUGUUCAGAAUUAAAUUUUCUUCUUGAAGAAUAAUAAUGUACAGGAGUGUGUUGAAGAUUUUGAGAAUUCUCACAGCAAAGGAACUUGUUAAUUUUUUUAAUCCACCUACCUAAUAGAAUUAAUAUUUUAAGAGAAACAGCUUGUGAAACAAUUAUAUAUAUGGUCCCAUAAAAACUUUUAGAAAACAAUUAUUAUACACACAUAUAAACACAUAUUACUUACUAGUAAAGAUGUACCUAUCUUCCUAGGAAGCUCUUUCAUGGUAUUUCAUUAGUAUCCCUUCCAGCACCUACCAUCCAUCCAGGCAAAUUUUAGAUGUUUUACAAAGGUUUAUGAAAUUGCAUUAAACACCUGUUAAAAAUCACUUUGUUCAUUGCAAGACAUUUAUAUACUGUAGUUUUAAAGAAAGAUAACAGCUGAGGGGAGCUACAGGAAAAAGAAAAGCAUAGAACUUAUGUUGAAUUAUUUUUCUUGUGCAUAUGAAGUUGCUCUGUGAGAACAAGAGCACUCAGCAGACGUAUAGAUCCACUAUCUUUUCACAUGGCAAUAUGUUCAUCCUUUCAGACAAUUUGAGCAAGUUUGGAACAUAAAAUAAUACAAAGAGGCUAAAAUGCAAAGCAAAAAAAAAAAAAUGAAAAUGAUUGGCACAAAAUAAUGGAGCAAUUGUAAGAGAUGUUACAUGUGUAAACUUAAACCAGGACAUAAACCGUUGAAGUUCACCGUUUAAGGAAGCAUCCAAAUAUAUAAUAGUCCUGCUAAAUGCUUGGAGUAGCAAAUUUCUAUCACAUGCAUCCACAUGCACAUCUUACAUUAAAAUCCCGUGACAAUAGUGUUAACAUCUUGUCAUUUUAGCCUUGAAUGUCAAAGGCUCAUGGGAUCUACUCCAUGACUCACAUAACCUGUAUAUCUAGAAACAGGUGUUUUAAACUCUACAUCUGGUGAUAAAUAUUAAAGAUAGAAGAUGAGAGUUCUAAAACAGUCUACUUAUUUCAUUUCCACUUGGCUUUGCCACCAUUACCUAAACUAUUACAGAUUGAGCUCCACAGACUACUCAGAAUUCUCCUCCUGUCUUGAAAUUCCAAAUGCAAUUUUCCCAGGAUUUUUAGAAAUUUAUGAAAUUAUUAGCCAAAAAUAUUAUAUUUCAAGAUUAAGCCCUCAUCCUACAGUUUAGAAAACCAAGAGCCAGCUGAAAAUACUUGCUCAAAUUCAGAGAAUGAAUGUUGUCUAAAUUAGUUCAAAAACAAGUGACUCAUUGAAGAUAAAGUAGUGUGGUGAUUAAAAGCAUGUACUUUGAAAAAAAAAAAAGUGACUCUUGGCUUGUAAUACAAUUUUUUCACUGCAUUAUUCUAAGGAAAUUUGUUAGUAGAGCUGAAAUAAUACAGCAUUAGGGUUAAAAAGUACAAGUUUCAAAGUUACAAAGACCAAGGUAGCGAAAGGCAAAUUACUCAACCUCUCUAAACAUGGUUUAUUCAUUAGUAAAAGAAGAACAAGAAUAUUAUUUAUGACAUAGUAUUAAGAGUUUUAAACAAUGUAGAAUACUGAAAGUGCCAAAAAACUAUUGUCAUUAUUACAUAUGUAAGUAAAAUUUAUUUUCUGCAUAUCAUUGUAUUAGUCUGUUUUCAUACUGCUACAAGGAACUACCCAAGCAGGUAAUUUGUAAAGAAAAGAGGUUUAAUUGACACACAGUUCAGCAUGGCUCGGGGGGCGGGGGGGCCCUCAGGAAACUUACAAUCAUGAUGGAAGGCAAAGGGGGAGCAAGGCACCUUCUUCACGAGGCGGCAGGAAGGAGAAAUGCUGAGUGAAAGGGGAAGAGCCCCUUAUAAAACCAUCAGAUCUAGUGAGAACUCACUAUCAUGAGAACCGCAUGGAAGAAACUGCUUCUGUGAUUCAGUUAUCUCCACUUGGUCUCUCCCUUGACACACGACGAAUUACAAUUCAAGAUGACUUUUGGGUGGAGACACAAAGCCUAACCAUAUCAAUCACCAUACCUUUCAAAAACUACAAAUAGUUUUCAUUACAUUUGGAGGUCAGUCUCAUGUAAAUUAUAAUGAGGUAUCAUAUUCAAAAUCCACUUUGAUCUCUGCUUCUAAGAGGACGGAGUGGACAUAAUUUCCGUAUUCCUCCCAAUGGGCACAACUAAAAACUCUGGAAAUGAUAUAUAAAACAAAUGUAAGAAGACUCUAAAGCAUGGAAAGAAAAAGGCAGGCGAGCUUGGGAAAUUGGAAUUCAAUGAACUACACAGUGCUGAGUUCCCUGAGUUUUCAUCUUGCCUCACAUAUCAUCUCAGACUGGGCACUAAAGACAUCAACAACCCGAAAAUACUAAAACGCUAAUGGACACAAACACCAAAACACACACAUACACACACAAAUAAAAACCCAAGAGAAGCCUGCUUUCUCUUGCCAAUGGACCAGAAAAGAAGCAGCAUAGGAAGACAGAAAACAUUUAGACAAUAACCACUUUACUCUAGCCAAACACUAUGUAAAAUACUGCAUGCCUACCCCUAGAAGCAAAGGCAGAGGGGAGAGUCCAGUCUUUGGACUCUUGCCAGGCUGCCAGGAGGUGCUGCAAGCCCUACCUACCUCCAGAGUGGUGUCAGAGAAGGCAGAGUGGAAAGCUGAGACCAUCAUCCCUAUCAGGUGGUAAAGAGGAUCCCCUUCAGGGUGUCAGGGGAGUCCAUGGGAAGAGGGAUAGGGACUUGGAUUUCCACCCUACCCAGAGGCACCAAGGCACCCACACUCCUCUCACUGAGGUGCUGUCAGAGGAGGUCUAAUGGAGAGUCGGUACUUUAAUGUGGCUCAGUGGUAACAAGCUCGACCCCAAAAGUGCUAGUAGAGGCCAUGUGGGAAGCUGUAAGAAGACAUCCCUCCCCUCCCAGCCAGGGUGGUAUCAACAGAUACCUAAUGGGGAACUGAGUUUUGACCAAAGUGCAAAAGCAAUUCAAUGGAGGAACAAACUUUUCAAUAAAUGGUGCUGAAGCAAUUGGAUACCUAUAGGCAAAAAAAUAAAAAUAAAAAAAAAUUAGACCUCAAACGUUUAACAAAAAUUAACUCAAAAUAAAUAGUAUAUUUAAUAUAAAAUGUAAACUACAAAACUUACAAAAUAACAUUGGAGAAAAUUUUCAGGACCUAGGACUUGGUGAAGAAAAUGUAGAUGUGACACCAAAAGCACAAUCCAUACGAGUAAAAAAUCAAUAAAUUGGAUCUACUUUUGCUCUGUGAAAGAUCCUGUUUAAGAGAAUGAAAAGACAAGCUAUAGAGUGGGAGAAAAUAUUUGCAAAUAUCAGUGAGAUUUCUUAAAAUUGAACAGUUAAAAACAAAUAACCCAAUUAGAAAAUGGGCCUUCCCCACCCCCAAAAAACCCAUGAAGAGACAUUUCAGACAUGUAAGCAAAUGAAAAAAUGUUCAAAGUCACUAGCUAUUAGGGAAAUGCAAAUAAAGACCAUGAGGAGACAUCACUACAUACCUUUCAACAUGCUGACAUAAAAAAAACGGUGACAACACCAGAUGCUAGCAAGGAUACAGAGAAACUUGAUGUCUCAUACAUUGCCAGUGGGAAUACAAAAUGGUUAAGCCACUGUGGAAAACAGUUUGGCUGUUUCUUAAAGUAAUUAAACAUAUGCUUACCAUACAACCCAGAAAUUGUACUCCAGGGCAUUUAUCCCAGAGAAAUGAAACAUUAUUGUAGCAGUUUUUUGUUGUUGUUGUUAUAGCCAAAACCUGGAAUACAGCAAUAAAAAGGAAUAAACUAUUAAUACACACCAUGAUUUGGAUGGAUUUCAAAGUCAUUACAAUAAGUGAAAAAAAAUCUCAGAGGACACAUUUAUAUGUGAGCUCAUUUAUACAACAUUCUUGAAAUGAUAAAAUUACAGAGACAGGAAAAAAAAAUUAUGUUUCCCAUGAGUUAGGGAUGGUAUAGGCGAGGAAAUUGAGUGCAGCUAUAAAGGGGUAAUUUGAGGGAGAUCUUUGUGGUAAAGGAAUAGUUCUGUAUCUUGAUUGUACUGAUGAUAUAGACUGAUGAAUCUACACAUAUGAUAAAAUGACAUGGAAUCAUAUAUACUCAUUGUCUAAUUUCUGUCUUUGAUGCUGUAUUAUAGUUAUAUAAGAUGUAUCCAUUGAUGGAAACUGAGAGAAGAGUACGUGGGUUGUCUCUGUGCUACUUUUGCAACUUCCUGUGAAUCUACAAUUAUUUUAAAAUAAAAUUUUUCUUUUUUUAUUAUACUUUAAGUUCUAGGGUACAUG
rnacentral:lncRNA from 1 species